rnacentral:rRNA from 1 species
UACAGAGGGGGCAAGCGUUGUUCGGAAUUACUGGGCGUAAAGGGCGCGUAGGCGGCCUGUUAAGUCGAACGUGAAAUCCCCGGGCUCAACCCGGGAACUGCGUCCGAUACUGGCAGGCUUGAAUCCGGGAGAGGGAUGCGGAAUUCCAGGUGUAACGGUGAAAUGCGUAGAUAUCGGAAGGAACACCAGUGGCGAAAGCGGCUUCCUGGUCCAGCACCGACGUCAGGCACGAAAGCGUAGGGAGCAAACAGG